rnacentral:rRNA from 1 species
UACGAAGGGGGCUAGCGUUGUUCGGAAUUACUGGGCGUAAAGCGCACGUAGGCGGAUAUUUAAGUCAGGGGUGAAAUCCCGGGGCUCAACCCCGGAACGGCCUUUGAUACUGGAUGUCUUGAGUCCGGAAGAGGUGAGUGGAAUUGCGAGUGUAGAGGUGAAAUUCGUAGAUAUUCGCAGGAACACCAGUGGCGAAGGCGGCUCACUGGUCCGGAACUGACGCUGAGGUGCGAAAAGCGUGGGGAGCAACAGG